rnacentral:snRNA from 1 species
GUGCUCGCUUCACUGGCACAUAUACUAAAAUUGGAAUGAUACAGAGAAGAUUAGCAUGGCCCCUGUGCAAGGAUGACACACAAAUUCGUGAAGCGUUCCGUAUUUAA